rnacentral:rRNA from 1 species
AUUGAACGCUGGCGGCAUGCCUUACACAUGCAAGUCGAACGGCAGCGCGGGAGCAAUCCUGGUGGCGAGUGGCGAACGGGUGAGUAAUAUAUCGGAACGUGCCCGGUCGUGGGGAUAACGUAGCGAAAGCUACGCUAAUACCGCAUACGAUCUACGGAUGAAAGCGGGGGAUCGCAAGACCUCGCGCGAUUGGAGCGGCCGAUAUCAGAUUAGGUAGUUGGUGAGGUAAAGGCUCACCAAGCCGACGAUCUGUAGCUGGUCUGAGAGGACGACCAGCCACACUGGGACUGAGACACAGCCCAGACUCCUACGGGAGGCAGCAGUGGGGAAUUUUGGACAAUGGGCGCAAGCCUGAUCCAGCAAUGCCGCGUGCAGGAUGAAGGCCUUCGGUUGUAAC